GAGUGUAAAUAUUAACUGAGAAUAUUGGGAUGACUUCUAAAGGAAGAUACAUAACUUCCUUUAAUCCUCACAACAAAGGCCGAAAUAUCAAAUAAAUGACAUCUCAGAGCUCUGUAGACCAAUUUUAGAAAUACUUUCACAAAGAUUUUCUUAUGGGGCAAUUCACUGCCCUGGUUUAAUAUUAGCCUCUAGUACUUACAGAGGAACUGGAACGUAUUUGGUCUUAACCCAAAACCAAUAUUACAAAUUUCUUAUAGAAAUACUUCAGCUCUGAACAAAGCUGUGGUCACUUUCUUACUUGGUGGAUAAGGUACUGCUGUUCUUCCAUCCUUUCCCAGAGGGCGUUCCUCAGCUCCUGCUGGAGGCAUUUUUGAUGACCGCAGAGCUGGUGAUACAGCCUAAACACAGUGCAGUGCUGUCUGAAUUUACCUCCAUCUUGGCAUCAUAUCUGUCAUACCGGAGCUCUGGCGGCUUGAACUCUGGAUCAUCACUUGCUGGGAGAACAUAGCUCUGCCACUUAUCUGAUGAUUCAUUGUUUUGAAUGAUCCCACAAUAUAAAGCUGUCUCACUGACCUCUGCCAUCAACGGCAGCCUCUGUCCAACAAGAACUGUCCUAUCAUCUAGACUGGGCAAUGGUUGGAGUUCUAACCCAUUACCAUAAAGUGCUGGGUUCACAGCAACUGAUGGUGGGUCCAAAUGUUCUGCUUCCUGACCUCUUGGCUGGGGGCUAAGUGUGGGAGGCAGAGGGGAGGUGGGGGAAUGGGGUGAAUCCAUGGGAUUCAGAUUAAUUUGUUUACUUGGGUUUCUGGAGGGUAUGGAUAGCUGCUUCUCAUAUUUCCUGGAAUUAGAGACUUCCAAAGAGGGAUCCAUCCCUACCAACCCCAGCUUCUGCCCUGAUGUGUCCUGUUCCAUGCAUAGCUCUUCAGUGACAGAGGGCCGAUGGUGAAAUGGCAUCAUAGGCCUUUUUUGCAGUUUCUCUCCUUUUUCCUGUCUUUCUGUUGUUUUGUGCUUAGAAGAGGCAGGUGGUGGCAAGGAAGAAGAGGAUGAUGAUCCGACACUGAACCCUGGCUGUGAUAUCGUUGGGGGACGGCUGGGGCCAAUAGCACAGCGCUGUUUGAAAAGCUUGUGCCUGUAACAGGAGUUAGAAACAAGUCACCAUGUGAACUGUGAGGCUACAUGAUCUGAUGGUUAGAACAAAAGCACAGAGCCAAGAAAUCUUAAUUCUAUUCCUGCCUCUGUUGCAAACUGUAAAAUGAUCUUGGAAGGGUUACUUAGCCUCUCUCAGCUUCAGUGCCCCUGUCUGCAAAAUGGGGAUAAUGACAUCUAUCUCACACAUGCAGUAUUCUAGGAGAAAGAAUUAACAUUUGUUUAAAAUUCUCAGGUGGAAGAUAAUAUAGAAAUACCAAGUAUUAUUGUCUUCACCACCGAAGAGCUGUUUUUCUUCACAACAAUACUGAAGCAAUACUACUCUUCCUGUACAUUCUUGAGCAUGUGUUGGGAAUGAUACCAUAUUGUGUGUUUUAGCUGUGCUCACAGAUGCAAUGCACAGCAGGUUGCUUUCAAGCCAUUUUUCCUCCAGACCGGGAGACGGAGGAGGCACUCAUGCCAAAUAAGAGGUGUUUGUGCCAUCCUCAUCAAUUGCUGAAUAUUUUACACAGUCCAAAACCUCCCCCCGCAACUAUGAAUUUUUGUAUUGAUAGUGGCUUUAAAUUCUAAGACAUCUUGUGCUACAGAAAUCCAUUAUCUUUUAAAAUUGGAAGCACAGGAAAGAAAUUCAAUAUCCUAGAUGUUGCAGCCAUUAAAUGGUGUUUUCAUUAUCUCUGAGAUAGUCUGUGAAGACCUUGUGAUAGCUUCCUCUGCAUUACAAGAUAACCUUUCUGAUAAUAUAGUUACAUGGUUGGUAGGUAGUACAGUGGGUUAAUGCACUGUACACUUUGGUUAAAGGAGAUUCAAAUAAAAUUUAAAAUAAAGGGUGGAGGGGCUGAUGA